rnacentral:rRNA from 1 species
UGCCAGCCGCCGCGGUAAGACGUAGGGAGCGAGCGUUGUCCGGAUUCAUUGGGCGUAAAGCGCGCGUAGGCGGAUCGUUAAGUCAGGUGUGAAAACCGGGGGCUCAACCCGCGGCCUGCACCUGAAACUGGCGGUCUUGAGUCUGGUAGAGGAAAGUGGAAUUCCCAGUGUAGCGGUGAAAUGCGCAGAUAUUGGGAGGAACACCAGUGGCGAAGGCGGCUUUCUGGGCCACGACUGACGCUGAGGCGCGAAAGCUAGGGGAGCAAACAGGAUUAGAUA